CCCCGUUCGCGCGACUGGCGAGAAAGAGAUGGGCAACCAUCGGGAAACGCGAACCUCAGAGAGCCGCUCGCCUGGGCAACCCAU
rnacentral:ncRNA from 1 species